rnacentral:rRNA from 1 species
GUUUUUAAAAACAUUCCUCUACAGCCUGAUCCUGUCUGAUCUCAGAAGCUAAGUGGGGUUGGGCCUGGUUAGUACUUGAAUGGGAGACCACCUAGGAAAACCAGGUACUGUAGGCA